rnacentral:sRNA from 1 species
AUAUAGGUUUACGUAAGGGAUAGCAGUGGAAAUCCUUUUUGCUUUUUCUGCAAAAAGAUUGAAGCGAAUAGCCCGACCCGCA